rnacentral:misc_RNA from 1 species
GAUGAAUAACGCAGCGAAAUGCGAUAAGUAGUGUGAAUUGCAGAAUUCAGUGAAUCAUCGAAUCUUUGAACGCACAUUGCGCCCCUUGGUAUUCCAUGGGGCAUGCCUGUUCGAGCGUCAUUUGUACCUUCAAGCUUUGCUUGGUGUUGGGUGUUUGUCUCGCCUUUGCGUGUAGACUCGCCUUAAAAUAAUUGGCAGCCGGCGUAUUGAUUUCGGAGCGCAGUACAUCUCGCGCUUUGCACUCAUAACGACAGCGUCCAAAAGUACAUUUUACACUCUUGACCUCGGAUCAGGUAGGGAUACCCGCUGAACUUAAGCAUAUCAAUAAGCGGAGGA